GUAUAUGUGUGUUAAGUGGAAAAACCCACAAUAGUGAUAAAGAUGUUAAGCCAUUACGAAAUAGCACGAAUAGUUAGGGGAUGAAGGGUUUUCGUAGCUUAUAAUAUAAGAUAUUAUUAUAAUUUUUUAACACCACAUUUCCAAAUACUAUAGUGCGACAAACACACAAGACAAAAAAAAAAAUAAACGAAAACAAUAGAAACACAAGAACGAGUGAGUUAUUUAAAGGAACACGCAAAACUUAAAAUAAUAAUUACAAACGUCGCGUCGUGAUUUUUAGAAAACAAAAAUGAUGUAUUUAACAAGAUUUUAAGGUUACUAAGACGGUAUCGAAACUUUGUUGCUAAUGGUGUCAACAUACGGCAGUUGGGUCUUGCAAAAUAACAAGCAUUUCGAAUAUACAAUUUUAAUGAUCCCAUUAGUACCUGAUUAUAUCCUAUGCAUACAAAAUGGGCAGUAAUAUAUUCGUCACUCAUACCUGAUACCUACACAAAUUUCACAACAAACAAUAACAAUAGUCUAUUAUUGUCGGCGCCAAAAUAACAUUUAUAUAUAUAUAUAUAUAUAACACAAACACACACACACAUCUGUAAAAUAUAUUGUUAAAAUUUAUUAUUAUAAUAAUUUAAUUUUAAAUUCGUUAUUGAAUUCACCGCUGAACGGUUAAGCUCACUUGGAGUAAUUAACGCGGCCGCCCAAAAGCAUGUGCUCUCACGCCACCGUGUUGUACUAUAUUUUAUAAUAUGGUGCGGAAAAUAAUGUCUAUUAGCAAAAUAUUGCAACAAACUAGCUUCCUAGUCUUUUUAUAUUAAAUUUUUAAAUGGUUAUAAUCCAGAUUUCAAUGUGUGUUUUAAUAUUAUUGUAUUUAUGUAUAAUAUUUAAUAUACGCGUUAGUGAAUUUCAGAGUGAAUUUUGUACAGGUCUAGGUAGCGGCUGGCCUGUCUGCGCACAAUCAAUUCAGUGCAUACCUGAUUAUUAGGGAACGGAUUUAAAUGCAAAUUGCAUUUUUUUCUGAAUGUCCGAAAACAUUGCUUUCCAAGCACAAAGUUCAUUUCAUACAUCAAGGAAUUAAAAAAUGUAACUUUUAUUUUGCAUUUUUUGACAUUUUUAGUGAAUUUUUAUGGUUUUUAAGUCAUUUUUUCAACAUUCAUUCUAAAAUAAUAAAAAUACCUAAAUAUUUAUUAUGUUACGAAAUUACGAAAUUAUUGUUGACACGUGUAGACACAAAAUACAUACAUCAUACAAGUUACAACAGAUUAUUACCCGCAAAGGUAAAUAUAAGAUAAGCUAUUUAUCUAAAUUGUAAUUUUGUAUUGCACUGUUGAGUUGAGUCAUUACUUCAUCGUUUAGUAUCGCGUAUAGCCUCGUCGUAAAACGUUUUCGAGUGAUUUUCGCAGAUGUAUUUAGUUUAGUUUUGUUUAUUCCACGAAGUUUUUGAAAAUGCCUAAGGCCAAACCUUUAGAUGUUUGUCGUUUGCGGUCCUACGUUUAACAACAUGGGGAAUCAAUUUUUUCUACCGAUUCAAAUAUUUUGGAAGGAAAAGCAACAUCUAGAAAUAAUACAAUAUCUGAAGAACUAACUGCUGAUGACAUGGCUCAUUUGAAGUUUGCACCUAUGACGUCAGUUGACGUGGAACGAAGUUUCUCGUGAUACAAAACAACACUGGCCGAUAACCGUCGAAUAUUUCUGUUUGAGAAUAUUAAGCAGCACCUAAUUAUACAGUGCUAUGAAACAAAAGGGAAGAAGAAUGAAGAAGAAGAUGGACAGAAGAUAAUUGAGAGUUAAUUAGUUAAGGUUUUAUUGUAUUUAAAUAUUUUUUAUCUGAUUUUUCAUAAUUUAUAUAUAUAUUUCAUAAUUUUUAAAGUU